GAUGAACGCUAGCGGCAGGCCUAACACAUGCAAGUCGAGGGGUAGAGGAAGCUUGCUUCCUUGAGACCGGCGCACGGGUGCGUAACGCGUAUGCAAUCUACCUUUUACAGAGGGAUAGCCCAGAGAAAUUUGGAUUAAUACCUCAUAGUAUAUAUCAUUCGCCUGUUUGAUAUAUUAAAGUUCCAACGGUAAAAGAUGAGCAUGCGUCCCAUUAGUUAGUUGGUAAGGUAACGGCUUACCAAGACGAUGAUGGGUAGGGGUCCUGAGAGGGAGAUCCCCCACACUGGUACAUGGACACGGACCAGACACCUACGGGGGGCAGCAGUGAGGAAUAUUGGUCAAUGGACGCAAGUCUGAACCAGCCAUGCCGCGUGCAUGAAGACGGUCCUAUGGAUUGUAAACUGCUUUUGUACGGGAAGAAACACUCCUACGUGUAGGAGCCUGACGGUACCGUAAGAAUAAGGAUCGGCUAACUCCGUGCCAGCAGCCGCUGUAAAAC
rnacentral:rRNA from 1 species